CAGACGAGGCAGAACCAUCGACAAGAAGGCAUAAAGAUGACAAAAACGAAGAAUCAAGGGACAUGCAAAGGUGAUCCUUGCAUCGCUGGGCAAAAAAAAUUAUGAAAACAUUGAAAGAACGAGACAAAAGAAGCAUACGUUCACAAAAGAUGAGCCACAACCGUCUAUUAGUAAACAAGGAUUUUACAAAAUGAUGGAAAUUGAUGAAGAUCAAUAUCGACGUCCGCCUUUCCGUGGAAAAAGUACAAUGGACGACAUCUCAACCGACUCUAGAAAGUGGAAAACAACUUCGAAUUCGAAGGAUAAUUCGUCGGACAUAAAGCGGAUUGAAAAGAUGAUUUGACAUUAAUCUCCAACAAUCAAGUCAGUGGACAAAAAAACUUAAGAAAAACGCAACAAACAACCAUCAAAAACAUCAACUUCAAAAGCAGCCAAGGACCAUGGUGAAGACGCUUCCAAAGCGGAUGAAGCAAUGAGUAUUGAUGAAUCUUUCGCAACGUGUGUGAAGCAGAGAGAAAAGGAAGCAGAAAAAUAGCAGCUAGGGAGCUCGUGGCCAAAAAGAAAAAGAAACAAACAAGCUAUGCAACGUACAUGUCUCUUCAAAAAGAAAACCGAAAGAAUGUACGAGACUUGCAGAAAAAAAGAUCCGGAAGUGUAUGAACUACUAGACGAAUUCAAGCUUCAAAUGGCCGACGAGAAAAGUGAAGUUGAUCCUGAUCUAUUCAAGAAAUUUCAAGAAAUAAAUAAAAAGAACAAAGUCUUUCCAAGUUAAGAAGAAGAACUCAGGGACUUCAACAAAUUCCACAUUGAAAAUUUGACAACCAUUGAUUGCGUUCACCAAACGAACCUUCUUUUGCAAGCGGCACGAGAGAUGGAUUGUUACGUUUAUAUUUAAUUUUGAAGGAAUGUUUCAUGCCUUAGCCCUAUGGGGACCGUUAUGAAAUUGUUCUUACUUAUUUGACAGAAAAGAGUAUUAAAGGUUAAGAGUAAAUAAAAUAUAAAGAUAUGCAAGAGAAUAUUAGUUUAUUAUAAUAAGAACUCAAAUAUAAAAUUAAAUUAUAAGUAU